GACGAACGCUGGCGGCGUGCUUAACACAUGCAAGUGGAGCGACGAACCAGGGCUUGCCCUGGGGCAGGGCCGCGAACGGGUGAGUAACACGUGGGUUACCUACCCCGAUGACCGGGACAACCCGAGGAAACUCGGGCUAAUACCGGAUGUGGUCUUCGGACGAAAGGAAGCUUCGGCCUCCGCAUCGGGGAUGGGCCCGCGGCGCAUUAGCUUGUUGGUGGGGUAACGGCCUACCAAGGCGACGAUGCGUAGCNGGUCUGAGAGGACGAUCAGCCACACUGGGACUGAGACACGGCCCAGACUCCUACGGGAGGCAGCAGUGGGGAAUCUUGCACAAUGCGCGAAAGCGUGAUGCAGCAACGCCGCGUGAGGGAAGACGGCC
rnacentral:rRNA from 1 species